UGCAGCGACGCCGCGUGAGGGAUGACGGCCUUCGGGUUGUAAACCUCUUUCAGCAGGGACGAAGCGAAAGUGACGGUACCUGUAGAAGAAGGACCGGCCAACUACGUGCCAGCAGCCGCGGUAAUACGUAGGGUCCGAGCGUUGUCCGGAAUUACUGGGCGUAAAGAGCUCGUAGGUGGUUUGUCGCGUUGUUCGUGAAAACUCACAGCUCAACUGUGGGCGUGCGGGCGAUACGGGCAGACUUGAGUACUGCAGGGGAGACUGGAAUUCCUGGUGUAGCGGUGGAAUGCGCAGAUAUCAGGAGGAACACCGGUGGCGAAGGCGGGUCUCUGGGCAGUAACUGACGCUGAGGAGCGAAAGCGUGGGGAGCGAACAGGAUUAGAUACCCUGGUAGUCCACGCCGUAAACGGUGGGUACUAGGUGUGGGUUUCCUUCCUUGGGAUCCGUGCCGUAGCUAACGCAUUAAGUACCCCGCCUGGGGAGUACGGCCGCAAGGCUAAAACUCAAAGAAAUUGACGGGGGCCCGCACAAGCGGCGGAGCAUGUGGAUUAAUUCGAUGCAACGCGAAGAACCUUACCUGGGUUUGACAUGCACAGGACGCUGGUAGAGAUAUCAGUUCCCUUGUG
rnacentral:rRNA from 1 species